AAAAAAACUCUGACAAUGAGUCUGAAAGUCAGGAAUCAAAUUCUGACAGUGACAGAGGACCCCUUGUACUGACAAAGUCCCAGUUCCCUUUGAAGAUGCUGGUGGUGAUGGAGGCAGACCGAUAGUGGAUGAAGUACAGGAGUUCUGUGGAAGCUGGAAGGCUGCCAGCCAUUUCACCCCUCCUGGCCCUGUUGUUUGUGUUGAUGAGUCCCAGUCUGGAGUGCAACGCCCCUUGCCAUUUCCAACUGAGGUAGAGUGCUUCAAGUUGUUUCUGACAGAGGAGCUGGUGGGAGACAUAUUAGAGACCAAUCGCUAUGCCUUGGAGCUACAGGAAAAGAGAGAGCCAGGAGUGGGGGGACAGCCACAAUUAGUGAGAUGUAUACAUUCCUGGUGACAGUAAAGAAGAACUCCCUAAGAGAAUACUGGAGCAGAUAAUCCUAUGUUUGCAACUCCCUUCUUUGCCACCCUCUUUUCCCAAGACUGCUUUCUAAUUCUGCUGCUAUGACUGCAUUUCAUCAACAACGCUACUGCCAUCCUAAAUGACCCAUUAUACAAACAAAAAACAUGUUAACAGCUGGCAGUAAAGUGCCAUGACAAACAAGAUGUCCAUGUCCUCUCCACUGUCCAUACAGCAACCAUUUCGGCCACAGGGAAGGUGGACCACCUGACGGGAGAGAGAAACAAACCAGUCAGGGAAACAUCAAACCAGACUGCGUGCUAGGACUAUAAACUCAAAAUGGGGGCAGAAAAUGACCAGGUGGUAUAAGAUAUUUUUCCAGGGUAGCGUCAAAAUACAACAUGCCAAUACUUCUGACGCAUUUAGCAUGGUUUUGCAGAGCUAAUAGGAGAAUGUAACUAGCUACAUAAGUGUAGUAGAGUUACAUUGGUUAUUCCAUCAAACUUCAAAUUAUUAGAAUAGUACACGACGCAGAACAGAACAACCAGGUUGAGGGUCAGGUGCCAAAGCCCGCGAACAGGAAUAUUCCAAGUUCAGACAGAGGGGGGAGGCAGAUCGCUAUGAUCGCCAGGAACUUUAGUUUUAGUGUCUUUUUAAAAUUGUUGCGCUACUGGUGCUGCCUGUUGAUGUUAGGUAGGCAGCUACCGUAGCUGAAUGAUGUUAACAUCUUCGGGUUUUGUUUCAUUAAAUGUAUUUUAUUUCAUCUGGGUGCUUGUGUCACCUACUAACACCCUGGUACUACCCGUAGCGCCCUUUCUCCUCAGUCGGAGAAAACACAGAGAGAAAGAUCAACAUAAAAGCCGAAAAGACAGCCGUGGUAUCGCUCUUCAUUUCUUGGUUCUCCUGUGGUACAUAAGAAACCCGCUACAUAAGCACGAUUGAAUAUAACACCAUAAAAGAUCAGCCUCAAUUCGUUGGGGCAUGGACUCUACAAAGGGUCAAAAGCAUUCCACUGGGAUGCUGGUCCAUAUACUGUACAUGAUUCAUCAAGCCCUUCUCUGCCAAGGCAGAGUUAGAGGAAGAUAUGUAGCCUGGCAAAAGCAACUGACACGGGCUGCACGUCAUCCAGGCUACCCAUCAGAGGACCCAGAGGACUUGCAGGUGACCAAGCGUUUCCAGGCCUUCUGGACUCCCCAGAAGAAGUCCCGGAUGCCUUUCCUCAUCUUGGAUAAUUUAACUGGCAAGAAGAUGAAAAUAUGUAAGAAUUUCAGAUGGACAAUUGUCUGAAAAAACAAUAAUUUAUUACUUCUUUAUAAUUGUCAAAUAAGAAAAUUUCCCACCAGGAAUACUCACUCAUAGGUGGAGAAUCCACAAGCAAUGUACAUCUCUGGCUGGUUUGUAGUGUCUGUAAGGACAAUGCUCAUGUUGGACUGAUCAGAAUUCAAGGAUGCACAAUUCAACUUCAAUUUCACUUCCUUUACAUAUUCCUAUAAUUAUACAACUAUACUUACUGGUGCCGAUAUCAAAAAGCACAACCAAUGACCAUUCAAGAGUAAUCUGAGCUUGUUUUACCUUUCUGCCGGUGGCAUAAUGCACCCCCUCAGAUUCCAAAUCCUCCACAUCAUCACUGCAUGAGUCUUCAAGGUCUGAGGUCUCACGGUCAUAUGGGUUGGAAACUGAGGGUUUCAAGAUGGCCAGUAGCUUGUGGGAAACAAUGACAGAGACAAUGGAAAGCAUCUCCUGAUCCUCAAAUAAAUCGUACAUUUUCAAGGAGCGUUUCAAACGCUUCACCUUCCCAAGGUCAGUGUAGAUGGCAUCUGCCAGCUUCGAUGUCAUCUUAGAAUUGAAACUUUUUUGCUGGCUUUCCAUUUCCUCAAUCAGAUAUUUGGCCACCUCAUCGUCGAACAAUCGGAUCAGCUCAGUCACCAGAUCACUGAUCUGGAUGCGCUGACGCUUGUUGGUCCUUUUUGGCAUACGGCAUAUCUUCUUGACAAGCUUCAUCAGGACUUCUUCUAAUAUAAGCUCCCUUAUGAAGCUGUUGGAACCUGAUGUCACUUGUGUCGUGGAAAUUUCCUCUAUUUACCAAAUCAUGAGAGCAAACCACAACACAAGUCAGAGUUAGUUAUCAAAGUCCAUCUUUAAUUAUAUGAGCUCUAUCACAACCCUGUGACUCUCAGAUCAAUUCAGUGUCUAUCAAUGAAUUCUCUGAGAGCCCCACUACCUUGCAACUGAGAUCCUUUAAUAGCAAAGAACACACAUAGUCAGACAGCAUAGACAUAAAUCGUGCAGCUUUGUCUCCUUACUCAAACCCAGAACCAUAAACCAACCCUCCAUAUCAACAGGCAUAUAUCAAAUUGUCAUUUAGAUACAACCAAUUCUAAAUACAACCAAUCCUGGACAAGCUCACGGAGAGCAUAGAAUGAUUCCAGACACUGCCAUCCUCCUCUCCCCGAUGGGAAAAGUAGGGAGUGACUGGCACACAGACACAGUGGAGCAAAAGAUAUGUUUACACAUGAUGACACCUUGACCUCUCCCCUCUCUGCGGCCCAUGCAACUUAGUCUUGACAUAGAACAGAUACUGCAACCCUGCCACAGUAUUAUACAAAAAUAACAUUCUUGAUGAGAAAUAACUUACAAACAUAUGAUGAAUAUAAAACAUCUUACCUAUGUUACCAUCCAAUUCUGAUUAUUCCCCAACACUUGUUCCACAGUGGAUCACUCCGGCUGUUCAAUCUCAGUCUUCAUGCUGCUCUGCUCAGCUUUCUUAUUCAAAGAUUCACGGGUUGUCAUUUCAUUAAACAAGGCUGUCAAUUCUUUCAAGUUGAGUGUAGAGUCCAGAUUUUUGGUGCCUUGAAGUUUGGAUGGUGCAUCCAUAAUUCCGCUCGUGACAAGACAGACAAUGUCCUUGUGCAGCUUGGGUGCCUUGUGGCACAGUAUCUUCUGUAGGGCUUCCUCUGUGCCAUAGCGUUGCAUCAACUUUCUAUGCACAGACAGCACCAACUGAAAGAUGUCUGUUGCCUUCAGGCAGACAUUUGCUUCCCUCCACCUGUUAGUCACCCUCACCCACAGAGCACUGGACAGCUUGUGGUCACAUCCUCAACUAGGGUCCAGCUGGACAGUUUAUCCUGGGUCCGAGGAACAAUCAGAGACCGCAGCCGGACAAUGAUAUCCAUCACCGCCUCUACAUGAACAAUAAUAUACACCGGUUGGGAUGCCUUCACCUCAGCCGAGCCACAUCGGCCCUUAACCAUGACCUUGUCCUUAGGCAGAUGUCUGAGGAGAGUGGCCUGACAGAGACUUUGGGUACGAUUGAACCCAGACGGUUGACUUCCCUGGUGACAUUUCUCGCAAUGGCUGUUGUCAUCUCCCCGCGGCUCAAAGCUCGCCUCAGAGCAUCAGGAGAGCCCGUGUGCUCCUCCAUCUCUCUGCAGAGGGCUCUUACAAUCCUUGCAUUUGAGGGGCGGGAGUACGGCGUCUUGAGAUCGUUGGUAUUUUCCAAUGCUGAGGUAAGGUCUGGGGAAUCGGACAUGUCCCGAAGGACAGAAACCACCAUGUCCAUUGCCACAUCAGAGAGAGUGGUGGUUGGGGAUGACACAGGUGAUGCAAAGUCCUCUGAGUCAAGCUCAUACCCAUGAAGCAGCUUGGUGUGGAAUGUAGACUGGGAGAGUCCUUGUCGGAGGUCCCUCUGACCAUGAUGUUUGUCUCGGAGUCAUCGGGUACAUGGUUCUCUUUGAGAGAUUUGAUACCUGCCUCACACAGCUCUUUCAGAUGGAGGUUCUCGGAAGACAUCACUGCUUCUUGAAUAGUAGGUGGUUGAUUGUCUAUGGUUGUAGCCAUGAUUGUCCUUACCAUCAGAGGACAAAGCUUCGUAACCAGUUCAUAUUGUAGCUUAAAGUUCUGAUCGGAUGUCAUUCAUGGGUACCUCAGGGAUGUCAAGGCCUUGAAAUAGCAUCUUCCAUACCAAUUUGCCCACUACACCCUCCAGUAGGCAAUUAGUAGGGCUCAGGGUCUCAUUUCCUCUGCCACUGGUGCUGGAAGGUAACUCUUGCUUCUUGUGAAGGCCAUGAAUGGCCUCACUUUGCGCAAUACAACCCUCAACAGGCAACUUCCUCCACUGCAAUCGUGUGCAUAACCACAUUGACGUUGUUGGUGUGGGGUCCAAUCAAAAACUUCUUAUAGGUUGUGUAGUAUCCUUAAAGGCUUCUUAGAGUUACAACUCAUGAUACUUAAGCACAGUUUAGUAUUUAAUUGUAACUUAGAAUUACAUUUUUUGAUGCACAUGGCUUAAACUACCUGAAGCUUUCUUAAUCAUAGUUAUAUAGUUAGACAUAGGAAAUAGCUACGGUUAGCGGAAAUCAAACCCCUGUCUUGAGUCAAUACUGCCAUCUAUAAACAUAAAUAUACCAGGUUACUACAGGUUGGGUCUGUGACAUAUUGUAAAACACCCCCGCCUGUCUUUAAGAUCUGAGCUUUAUCUCUAAAUGUCCUAUCCAGAAGACACAAUACUGACUCAGAUAGUGGGUCAGUGAACUCCUGGAGCUCUAGGCUGCUCUCAACUUCGAAGGGGCUGAGGCUGCAGCUGAGCUGUAAUAAGAAGCCUGCAGCUCUCUCUUCGACUCCAAUCUGUCAUGCAGCUUUGGAUAUAAGGCAUCUGCAAUUGAGUCUGUGAGCCGCUCAUCCAAAUUAACAGAGAAAAUAAUUUUCAGGCUUUUGUUGGAAGACUCCUCUUUGGUUUUCCUCAGGAUGUCCCGCACAGCUUCCCUUGGGGCAGAACCAGAAGUGCAAGCAUGUCCAUUGGAUGGUGUCUGGGUGUCAAUAAGGGAUUCCUUGAUCAAGAAACUCUGGAGUUCGGUGGCCACUUCCUGAGACAUCUCCCUUCUGAUCUUCUGAACAGCAGGUGUCAGUGUAGCUUUCUCUGAGGUCAAAGGUGUCAGAACUCUGGUCAAAGUUGAGGGGCAUCUGAGAUAAUCAAACAGACCCUCUAAGUGAUCAGAGCAGGACACUGUGGCAACUUUAAAUAAAACCAAACUAAUAAGGUUCUGAGCCACAGCAGAUGAUUUUGCUGAUGCUGCCUGGAGUGUCUCUGAACUAAGCUGAUUGGAGGCAGCCAUCUUUGUUGUUGCCCUGGUAAUGAUGUUACUCACAGGCUUGAUGGCGUAGCUCAUAAACUGGGAUCUCAGGCUUUCAAAAACUCCCUUCACUCUUUCUACCUUCAGGUCUUUGUCAGUGGCAAAUACACACGACUGAACAGCAUGGAGAGAUACAGGGAGAGGAAAGUGCACGGGUGAAGUGUCCCCUCAAGGCACCUCCAAGAGCGCCAACAGACACACAUUGCAGUGAUUCGCUGGAUGACGAAGAACAACUGGAGGAGAGAUCAAGCAGCUCCUCCUCCAAAGUCAGAGAGGAGGAAAGAAUUCCCUCCAUUUUCAGGACAGAGAUAACAUCCGCAAGUGUUGAAUCUACAAGGUCCUCACCUAGUGGGCUACUCCUUAAGUGGCUGACAAACACCCUUGUAGGAUAAUGGGAGACUGUGGUGGGAGAUGGAGAGCCCUCCUCACCAUUCACCAAGACUGGGAGAUGACGCAACAUACAAGUCCGCCAGCCCGCUCAAUAAUGGAGGGGAGGGAAACAUCCAAAGGGGCUGGAGGUGUCACACUCCCUCCUUGGCCAUUUCUGUCUUGGCUGAGGCAGAUCGACGAGACCUCAGUAGCAAAUUGAUUCUCCCGCACAGGGCUGUUGCUCGAGUCAGGUCCAGGAACAGUUGAAAUAAAGCUCACAGCCAGGGAGCAAGGAAUGUCACUCAUUCUGUCUAAAAGCUUGCUGGAGCCUGAGGAGGUGCUCCUGGCUGACCCCUGCCUGGGAGGCAUGUAAGUGGCUGAGAGUUUCAAAGUGGUAGACACAAGGGAGCUUCUGCUAGAUGAACCCUGGCUGGAGGGGAAGCUGGUGUUGGAGGAGGAGAAACUGGCCAAGGUCUGUUUGAAGGGGAUGACAUGUCCAUGACUAAAAUUACAUAUCAAAUCUGGGCUAGCUGAAUGUGUUGUGCAGCCCACUACAGCAGAUGGGGGUUCAUAGACAUCAGUGGCAGUACAUUGUAUGUCCGAUUGUGGCCUGGCAGACUGUGACGUAGCAAAUUGUGGCGUAGCAGAACAUGGCCUAGCAGCCUGGAGGUUCUCAGUAGAGACCUGAUUGGAGGCUGAGUGAGCUCGUUAGAUAGGAUAGGGAAGUACUGCUGCUAGAGUCACAUCCAGGAACAUUUGAAAUUGAGUUUAUGGUCAGAGAGCAAGAAAUGUCACUCCUACUGUCUGAAAGCUUGAUGGAGCACGAGGAGGGGAGGUUGGUGUUGGUCUCUUCGCUGGAGAGUAAGGAGGAGAAAGGGGCCACGGUCAGUUUGACAGGGAUGACAUGCCCACGACCUACCACAGCAGAUAAGGUUUCAGAGUAUUCAGUGGCAAUAGGUGGUUUCGCAGAUUGUGGUUUAGCAGAUUUUAGUUUAGCAGGUGGUGGUUUAUCAGAUUGUAGUUUAGCAGAUUGUGGUUUAGCACAUUGUGGAUUAUCAGAUGGUAGUUUAGCAGAUGGUGGUUUGGCAGGUGGUGGUUUGUCUGGUUGGGGUCUGGCAGAUUUUGGCCUAAGUCACAACCUAUUGUUGUGACUUAGAUGAAGAUCAGAUAACAUUUUAUGACCAAUUUACGCAGAAGUCCAGGUAAUUCCAAAGGGUUCACAUACUUUUUCUUGCCACUGUACUUGGAUAUGGAUUUCCCAGUAGAUGGGAGACAGGGAAGCAGUAAUAUGCCUACAGCCCCCAAAGAGUGAAAGCUGGGAACAUGUUCAUGAAAAUGACCUACCACUGACGGGCUAGCUGAAUGUGGUGAGCAGGUCAUCACAGUAGACAAGGUUCCAGUGUGAUCAGAGUCACUGCUAGGUCUUUCAGUUGGUGGUCUGGCAGAACGUGGUCUGGUAGAUUGUGGUCUGGCAAUAUGUGGUCUGGCAAUAUGUAGCCUAGCAACCUCGAGGUUCUCAGUCGAGAUCUGACUGGAAAGAGUGUCCAUCGAGGAGGUGGAGUGUCUGAAGGGAGAGUCCUUUCCCAGAGGUGUGUGUGUCUCCAUGCCCAGGGGUCUCCAAUCUCCCAUCUGGCUACCAGGCUAAGAGAGACGGGUGAGAAAGAGAGGCAAAUGGGUGAAGAUACCAACAGAAACACUGAGGUCCUACUGCUGCUUAAGCAACUGUGAGUUGAUAUCAGCCCUAGGAGUGUCGCUGUUCCAUCCUUACCUGUCCAAUCACCGUCCAGCGGAUUUGGCGCUCCAGGCGCAGCUCCCUGCACACUUCUCUUUCCAGCUCCUUAAGCCUGAGGCGUCGUUUCACAUCCCAAGCUAGUUCGGCCAAGGUUCUUCCCCUCUUCCAUUUCACUCUGAAACCUUCACAUACAAGGAAACAUAAACCAUGAUUUACCUUAAUUUUUCUACAACUCAAACUGUCCACCAUAUCUAUUUAUUAAGUUAUUGUAGAUAGGAGGUCAACGUGAUUCCACACCUUUGCUUAUGUUUUUUAAAACAAAUUUGAGUAAAAGAUUCUAAUAACACUCACGUGUUCUUGAAGUAGUUUCUACAUUUGGCAAUGAGCCAAUCUCUAAUAGCCAUCAGUGAAAUGUGGGACGGAACCUCCCCUUGCUGCUGCAAGACUAGGAACUGCUUCAAAAGCAUCUUCUGAGAGAGAGAGAUUCAUUUGCACCCUUGCCUUCCACAAGUUCUUCCUGGUCUUGUUACGUGAUCAGAAAACCCUUUCCCGAUCCAUGAGCGACAGCAAGUUACAUACACAGUUGAAAUAAAACGCAUAGAAAGGUGUCUUACAAUAUAGCUUUUGUGUUUUUAUAAUUGUGCAUCUAGAAAGCAGACCACUCUAACCUGCUGGGCACAGCACUGCUUCUCCCACAGCAACUGAACUGACUUGAUGUAGCUACUGUAGCGAUUGUACUCUUUACACGAACACAGCACCUGAAAGGGAGGAGCCACAAAAGAGCCAUUUUUAAGGGAAGUUCUUGAACACCCAAUCCCAAAUCUACCUCUAACCGAAACCCCAAUAUUGAUUGAUUUUGCCUUUAUUUAACCAGGUAAGACAUUAAGAACACAUUCUCCUUUACAACCUGCACUAACAAUGACCAUAUGUAGAUUUGGAGUUGUGUAAACUAAGCAAAAUGGCAAACAUUUCACCUAGCCAUCAUAUCGCUUACACCUGUCCAAUUUUCUCAGUUCCAUAUAAGUGUCACAUUUAGAUUUCGGAAAGAAAAAGAAGGUCUGCCUUGCCUUCUCAUUUGAGGUGAUGAGGCCUUGCUUCACCAGCCGCUUCUUCCUUUCCGGAUGGCAGAAAAAAUUCUUCAGGUGUUUGUCUUGGAUGUAGUUAUAACUAACAUCUAUGACUCUCAUGUUCGGGUCCAACAGGUCAAACCCUGUGGUCUCCUGAUGGAGCUUGUUGUAGCUGAAUCAUAAUUAGUUAGGUAACAUCGAUAAAUAAGAUGUUUUAUUUAUCUUCUCUUGUCAUUAGAAUGUCUUCUUUUGGACUAUACUGUUGGCAGUUGCAUUUUCCUUUCUUCUCUAGGGAAAAGUCACUUGGGGCCCAGAGAGGGGAGAGGUCAUGCUUGGCUUUUCCAUGUCUGGUAAUAGGCAGAAUAUCAGAAAGGGAGGAGUCAGGUUUGAACAUUGUCUUCAUAAUGAAUAUAUCUGUGAAACCAUGUGAAGGGCUCCACUAUGUCUGUACUCCAGUCAUUCCCUCCUUUUCCCAUUGGGGGAAGGAGUAUGGCAGUGUCUGGAACCAUUGUAUGUCACCUCUGAUGUUGAAACUUAUCUUUCAUAGUAUAUGAUCUAGAGGCUCACUCCUCAGGGAGCUUGUCCAGGGGUGAGUUGUAUUUGAGAUGGGAGUAUCUAGAAUUGACAAAUGAUAUAUGCCAUUGGAUGAGGUAAUGUUUUGGUAAUAUGAAGUACCAAGAACGAGAAGUAGAACCUUGUCUAGAACCUUGUCUAAACUGAACGAUAAUUUAUAGCUAAUGGUAUCUGGCUAUGGGAUACUCCUCUUUCAAGUAAAAGGCCCUUUGUGAAGUUCCUAAGAUCUGUGGUUCGUCAUUGUGAGUUGAGAGGGGUGUAUCUUGGCUAUAAAAGAUGAGGUGUUCUUUUGUAAGCUCUCUCAGAAUUCAUUUAUAGACACUGAAUUGAUCUGAGAGUCACUGGGCUAUAGUGAAGCUCAUGUUAUUAAAAUAUGAAGUUUAAGUAUUA